CCCCGCCUCCCCGGAAGGCUGUGAGAAAGCCGGUUUGCGGAGGUUACAUGCUCUGAGAUGCUCAACUCUGCUGGACACCAGAUGACAGGACAUGCCCCGUGAGACAUCACCGUAGAACAAGGCACUGGUACAUGCCAGCCGAGGGACAGUCAGUGCCACGGAGGCCAGAGCUGAGGGAGGGCAGAACAAUAGAUGAGUCACAGUACGUGUGUCAUGCUUACUCAAAGGUAUAAUGGGAUUGUUGGGUAACAGUCAGAGCAAUGUCACAAGGCGUGAUGGGCCAAGGGCAUGCCUGGGAGGCUAAGGGCCGGCAUCGGAUUCCCAAGACAAGAUAAUUAACUUCUUGCUCAAUCCCUCAGCAUUUGACCAAAAUACCAAGAUAAAAAUGUAGGCCCGUGUUAGUACAAAAGGUCCUGCAUUCAACUGUCCUCCUUAUAUUGCCCAAGAAGUCUUGUGGAAUUCCAAGAAGAAUUCAAGGGGCCAGACCUGGAAUAUGCAUCAAUGAGAAUAAGACACUGACGAAGCUAACGAC
rnacentral:lncRNA from 1 species